rnacentral:rRNA from 1 species
GACGAACGCUGGCGGCGUGCUUAACACAUGCAAGUCGAACGGUGACGAGGAGCUUGCUCCUCUGAUCAGUGGCGAACGGGUGAGUAACACGUGAGUAACCUGCCCCAGACUCUGGGAUAACAGUUGGAAACAGCUGCUAAUACCGGAUACGAGACGGAGAGGCAUCUCUACCGUCUGGAAAGUUUUUCGGUCUGGGAUGGACUCGCGGCCUAUCAGCUUGUUGGUGAGGUAAUGGCUCACCAAGGCGACGACGGGUAGCCGGCCUGAGAGGGCGACCGGCCACACUGGGACUGAGACACGGCCCAGACUCCUACGGGAGGCAGCAGUGGGGAAUAUUGCACAAUGGGCGAAAGCCUGAUGCAGCGACGCCGCGUGA